rnacentral:rRNA from 1 species
GAUGAACGCUGGCGGCGUGCUUAACACAUGCUAGUCGAACGAAGCACUUUAUUUGAUUUCCUUCGGGACUGAUUAUUUUGUGACUGAGUGGCGGACGGGUGAGUAACGCGUGGGUAACCUGCCUUGUACAGGGGGAUAACAGUUGGAAACGGCUGCUAAUACCGCAUAAGCGCCCAGCAUCGCAUGAUGCAGUGUGAAAAACUCCGGUGGUAUAAGAUGGACCCGCGUUGGAUUAGCUAGUUGGUGAGGUAACGGCCCACCAAGGCGACGAUCCAUAGCCGACCUGAGAGGGUGACCGGACAAAUUGGGACUGAAACACGGCCCAAAGCCCCACGGAAGGCAGCAGUGGGGAAUAUUGCACAAUGGCCGAAAGCAUGAUGCAGCGACGCAACGUGAGCGAAGAAGUAUUUCGGUAUGUAAAGCUCUAUCAGCAGGGAAGAUAAUGACGGUACCUGACUAAGAAGCAGCGGCUAAAUACGU